rnacentral:lncRNA from 1 species
AAAACUAGGGUUUCUAAGUUGUAUGUUAGCAGAAAAGCUUUCUUCUAAAGUUCUGUCCCUUUGUCUAUUCUGCAGAGUGCUGAGCAUUUCCAGCUCCUGGUGUCACACUGGGAUCCACCUGUGUCGAGCAGCUCACCACAGUGAAGCUUUCUUUGGUGAGAAUAGAAAAGAUGGAUGUUUGCAGAUGGCAUGUGUGAGGAUCAUACUUCUCAUACGUGUUGCAGGCUUAAAGCCAUGGAGGCAAUGGGAGCCAGGAAGGAAAGGGCCGUGUGUCCUCAGCACCUCUUUGCACGACUCCAGAGGAUCAGAGGAUGGACUUCGACUGGUGGCAGGUGAGUGUCUGCUUCCUUCUGCACCCAGAGAAUCUGCCUGGCAGCAGCAAGCAAAGCUCUUCCAUACAGCUUUGUGAUAUUUCAC